GGGCGAUCCGGGACUGUGCGGGCGAAGGGAACGAAGAGUUCUCGGGUGGAGAGUCGCAAGCAAUAGUAGGAGAGGCGCGCACGUGAUGUCUCGCACUCCGGACCUCGUACUGCUCAGAGUCCAGUUUCCUCUACUUCGACUAAUCUAAUUAAACAUUGUCAGAGCUAGCACAGAAAAAGAUACCAAGUUAGAAAUAUGCAGACAUCAAUAUUCGAGGAACUGAAGAAAUUCAUGACAGUGUCCAAGACUCAAACAAGAUUUCUUCAAGAUGUGUAAAUGAAGCAUUAUUCUGUCAGCAAAUUUGGUGUUGGAAGGUCUAGUAAACACAUUAAACAACAGAUGUACAUGUGGGCAUAAAUGGCUGGCUCUCAAUACAUUUGAAGAACAUACCCAGAAACUUCACAACUAAACCUCAUCACUUCAUCUGUGACAUCAAACAAGAGGUGGUGUGAUGACAGUGAUCAGUUUGUUGAAAUAAUGAAAAAGGAAGCAACUGUGGUCUAUUUUAAUGUACUGGCUCAGCUUUUGUCGGGACAAACAAAGAGAACUAAAAGAGAAGCCAGAACAGUUAGGUCCCUAGCUGUCCCUAGCCAGAAAUUAAGCUAGAAACUUCCUACUUCUACUCUACUUAUCAGGACUCAACCCUGGAACCCAUUAUCAUAUAUAAACACUCAAACCUAUACUUAAAUAAAUAAAUACUCAAGCUGAAUAUGAAGAUCUAUAUUUGCUCUUACAAUGUAUAAAUAGUGUAUUAAAGUUUCAUAGUGAUCAAUCAUAAAUCUGUGUGCACUCAAUUAAAGUUCACUUUUGUGAAUUAUAAAUCCCUCAUGCCAACAAAUUCAUAUUCAAAAAAAAAUCUGUGGCUUCGUGACACAAAUACUAUCACUGACAUUGUAGUGAACAGUAACUGUUUCAAGAAAUAUCAAAUCAAUAUGUACGGUAUGCUACACAUAUGAGUCAUGACCUGUCCUGUAAAAUGACACGGAAUUGCAAUCACGUCUAACCAAGAAAUUGUAAUUUAACCUAACCUUCAUUAAAUUUUUCCAAAUUUUAUAUUCCAGCGAAUUUCCA